AGCACUCCCGCAAUCAUCAGGAGGAUAAGCGGCUCAGAAAAUGGGUUGGUGUGGGUACUAAAAAACUAAAAUACAUUAAAAUAAAAAACAAGAUGCUGUACUAACCAUUACUGUGAGUGGUGGAUGACAAAUAAUGAGGGGAGGCUGUGCUUAGCUAUGACUAGCAUGCGCAGGAAGCCCUUUCUCGCUGUAAAUUCCUCUCUCAGCCUCCUUGCUUUUUUGCUCUUUCAAAGUUAGGAAAAUCCCCCGUGCCUUUUCCCUUAAUGAACAUUAGGCUGAUAUUAAGCCUAUGUUGAUUCUGAUCCUCCAUCUGUAACAUAAUCUUUCCAUCUCUGCAACGAUUGAAGAACAUGUUUUUUUCUUCGUGAAAAAAGUUGCUUCAUGAUCACUAUCGCUCAUAGGGGCGCAAUCCUUCACGUCUGCUAAAAUACAGGCUUUGUAAUAAUCAACACGGUCAACCGACUGAAGCCCAAACAAAGUCUUGACCGAUGUUUAUCGGUGUUACUCUUUUCGCCGAUGUUUUCAUGAUGUUAAGCUUCGUUUCCAUGGUAAUUGCUUUUUGUUUCAACAGGACCUGCAUUGCUAAAAAAAAAAAAAAAAAAAAAACAGCUUUCUUCUUUUGAGCCAUAAUGCGUAAAAAGGAAAAAGGCAAAUAUACUCCCGACGCAGAAACACAGCUUCACGCCAUUUAUGUCACCAUCUCCAUCCAUCCAUCUUCUGAGCUGCUUAUCCUCACGAGGGCCGCGGGAGUGCUGGGGCCAAUCCCAGCUAUCGUCGGGCAGGAGGCAGAGUACACCCUGAACUGGUUGUCAGCCAUGGAGACAGACAACAGUCGCACUCACGAUCACACCUAAGGGCAAUUUAGAGUGUCCAAUUAAAUGCAUGUUUUGGCGAUGUGGGAGGAAACCGGAGUGGCCGGAGAAAACCCACACAAGCAGGGCCGCGGUUUCAACUCCAGUCCUUAAAACUGUGAGGCCGACUCUCUUCAGCUGCGCACCGUGCCAUCAUCUACUUACAACAUUUUUUAUAUGUAUGUAAUUAAUUUGCUCAAAUUGUACCUAGUGGACAGAUAUUUCUUGAUGGCUGACUUCCAACCAUAGAUUGUAUAUUAUAAUGUAAGAUGGGCACCCAAUACACGUAAAAUAAAACUAAAUAUGACUUUUA